rnacentral:rRNA from 1 species
AUUGAACGCUGGCGGCAGGCCUAACACAUGCAAGUCGAGCGAGCGGCGGACGGGUGAGUAAUGUAUGGGGACUGCCCGAUAGAGGGGGAUAACUACUGGAAACGGUGGCUAAUACCGCAUACUAUCGGAUAACCCAUAUGGGAUUAGCUAGUAGGUGGGGUAAAGGCUCACCUAGGCGACGAUCUCUAGCUGGUCUGAGAGGAUGAUCAGCCACACCGCGACUGAGACACGGCCCAGCUUCUUCGGGAGUCAGCAGUGGGGAAUUGUGCACAAUGGGGGCUAGCCUGAUGCAGCCAUGCCGCGUGUAUGAAGAAGGCCUUAGGGUUGUAAAGUACGUUCAGCGGGGAGGCGUUACCCGCAGAAGGAGCACCGGGUAACUCCGUGCCAGCAGCCGCGGUAAUUC